rnacentral:rRNA from 1 species
GUUGUAUGGUUAAGUGACUAAGCGUACACGGUGGAUGCCUUGGCAGUCAGAGGCGAUGAAAGACGUAGUAACUUGCGAUAAGCCCAGAUUAGGUAGUAACAACCAUUUGAGUCUGGGAUUUCUGAAUGGGGAAACCCACGUGCAUAAGCACGUAUCCUUACCUGAAUACAUAGGGUAAGGAGGCGAACCGGGGGAACUGAAACAUCUAAGUACCCCGAGGAAAAGAAAUCAACCGAGAUUCCGAAAGUAGCGGCGAGCGAAAUUGGACUAGCCCUUAAGCUUUACACGCGUUAGACGAACGGUCUGGAAAGUCCGACGAUACAGGGUGAUAGUCCCGUAGUUGACGACGUGUGUUCAGUGAAAUCGAGUAGGGCGGGACACGUGAUAUCCUGUCUGAAUAUGGGGGGACCAUCCUCCAAGGCUAAAUACUACUGACUGACCGAUAGUGAACCAGUACCGUGAGGGAAAGGCGAAAAGAACCCCUGUGAGGGGAGUGAAAUAGAACCUGAAACCGUGUACGUACAAGCAGUAGGAGCAGGCUUUGUCCUGUGACUGCGUACCUUUUGUAUAAUGGGUCAGCGACUUAUAUUCAGUGGCAAGGUUAACCAUCUAGGGGAGCCGUAGGGAAACCGAGUCUUAACUGGGCGUUCAGUCUCUGGAUAUAGACCCGAAACCAGGUGAUCUAGCCAUGGGCAGGUUGAAGGUUGAGUAACAUCAACUGGAGGACCGAACCGACUAAUGUUGAAAAAUUAGCGGAUGACUUGUGGCUAGGGGUGAAAGGCCAAUCAAACCUGGAGAUAGCUGGUUCUCCCCGAAAGCUAUUUAGGUAGCGCCUCGGACGAAUACUACUGGGGGUAGAGCACUGUUAAGGCUAGGGGGUCAUCCCGACUUACCAACCCUUUGCAAACUCCGAAUACCAGUAAGUACUAUCCGGGAGACACACGGCGGGUGCUAACGUCCGUCGUGGAGAGGGAAACAACCCAGACCGCCAGCUAAGGUCCCAAAUUACUACUAAGUGGGAAACGAUGUGGGAAGGCUCAGACAGCCAGGAUGUUGGCUUAGAAGCAGCCAUCAUUUAAAGAAAGCGUAAUAGCUCACUGGUCGAGUCGGCCUGCGCGGAAGAUGUAACGGGGCUAAGUAGUAAACCGAAGCUGCGGCAAUAUACUUUUGUAUAUUGGGUAGGGGAGCGUUCUGUAAGCGGUUGAAGGUGUGUGGUAACGCAUGCUGGACGUAUCAGAAGUGCGAAUGCUGACAUGAGUAACGAUAAAGGGGGGGUGAAAAACCUCCUCGCCGGAAGACCAAGGGUUCCUGUCCAACGUUAAUCGGGGCAGGGUAAGUCGACCCCUAAGGCGAGGCCGAAAGGCGUAGUCGAUGGGAAACGGGUUAAUAUUCCCGUACUUCUUACAAUUGCGAUGGGGGGACGGAGAAGGCUAGGUGGGCCUGGCGACGGUUGUCCAGGUUCAAGUGCGUAGGCUUAAGAGUUAGGUAAAUCCGGCUCUUUCUAAGGCUGAGACACGACGUCGAGCACCUACGGGUGUGAAGUCAUUGAUGCCAUGCUUCCAGGAAAAGCCUCUAAGCUUCAGAUUGUAAGGAAUCGUACCCCAAACCGACACAGGUGGUCGGGUAGAGAAUACCAAGGCGCUUGAGAGAACUCGGGUGAAGGAACUAGGCAAAAUGGUACCGUAACUUCGGGAGAAGGUACGCUCUUGAUGGUGAAGUCCCUUGCGGAUGGAGCUGACGAGAGUCGCAGAUACCAGGUGGCUGCAACUGUUUAUUAAAAAACACAGCACUGUGCAAAAUCGUAAGAUGACGUAUACGGUGUGACGCCUGCCCGGUGCCGGAAGGUUAAUUGAUGGGGUUAGACUUCGGUCGAAGCUCUUGAUCGAAGCCCCGGUAAACGGCGGCCGUAACUAUAACGGUCCUAAGGUAGCGAAAUUCCUUGUCGGGUAAGUUCCGACCUGCACGAAUGGCGUAAUGAUGGCCACGCUGUCUCCACCCGAGACUCAGUGAAAUUGAAAUCGCUGUGAAGAUGCAGUGUACCCGCGGCUAGACGGAAAGACCCCGUGAACCUUUACUACAGCUUGGCACUGAACAUUGACCCUACAUGUGUAGGAUAGGUGGGAGGCUUUGAAGCAUGUACGCCAGUAUGUGUGGAGCCGUCCUUGAAAUACCACCCUUGUAGUGUUGAUGUUCUAACGUCGACCCCUUAUCGGGGUUGCGGACAGUGCCUGGUGGGUAGUUUGACUGGGGCGGUCUCCUCCCAAAGAGUAACGGAGGAGCACGAAGGUGGGCUAAUCACGGUUGGACAUCGUGAGGUUAGUGCAAUGGCAUAAGCCCGCUUGACUGCGAGAAUGACAAUUCGAGCAGGUGCGAAAGCAGGUCAUAGUGAUCCGGUGGUUCUGAAUGGAAGGGCCAUCGCUCAACGGAUAAAAGGUACUCCGGGGAUAACAGGCUGAUACCGCCCAAGAGUUCAUAUCGACGGCGGUGUUUGGCACCUCGAUGUCGGCUCAUCACAUCCUGGGGCUGAAGUCGGUCCCAAGGGUAUGGCUGUUCGCCAUUUAAAGUGGUACGCGAGCUGGGUUUAGAACGUCGUGAGACAGUUCGGUCCCUAUCUGCCGUGGGCGUUGGAAGAUUGAAGGGGGCUGCUCCUAGUACGAGAGGACCGGAGUGGACGAACCUCUGGUGUUCGGGUUGUGUCGCCAGACGCAUUGCCCGGUAGCUAAGUUCGGAAUCGAUAACCGCUGAAAGCAUCUAAGCGGGAAGCGAGCCCUGAGAUGAGUCUUCCCUGAUACUUUAAGUAUCCUAAAGGGUUGUCGGAGACUACGACGUUGAUAGGUCAGGUGUGUAAGUGCUGUGAGGCAUUGAGCUAACUGAUACUAAUUGCCCGUGAGGCUUAACCAUACAACACCCAAGGGGUUU